CUCAGGCACACGCGGGCGUCCUGGGGCCGCGCGGCUGCGCCGCAGAAGGUGAAAGAGCAACGCGAGGCGCGCAGCCGCUGCACCGUGGUGCGCACGAGCGCGGCCGGCCGGCGACCCCAGCGCACCCACAGGCAGCAUGUAAAGAAAUGUUGAGGACUGGACACUGUGAACAUCACUCACUCAUAGCGUCACCAAGAGGUGGAGCCAAGUCAAUGGCAAGUGAAGAACAAUUUCCUCAACAACUCUGAAGCAGAGCAGAGAUUUUCCCUAUUCUGGCCCUAUUCCGGAAGUGGACAGCACAAUGCAGUAAAAGCAAUCAGCAUUUGCCCCUGCGAGUCAGGGAAACAAACCACUCUAAAUACUCAAACUGGGGAUUUAAUAUUGAGACGUGGCUACAGGCACAGUGAAGGUGCUGGCACAGCAAACAUGGGACAGAGUGGCAACCCAGAGAAUAGAAAUAACAGGAAGCUGCUACCCAUCCCCAAGGAGGUGGAGUGACCUGACCGCUGAGGAGCCAGGGUCACCUGGUGGAAGCCAGAACCCGACAGACCUGUCCUGUGGGAGAUGGAGCCACAGGUUCAACAGCUGCUGUUAGAGACCCUGCCAGAGCCAGAGAGAAGGGGGAAGGGGAUCCCCCCGGUUUCUCCAUGCCUCUGGCCUUCUCCCGUCCCAUUGACUGAACUUUGCUGAAGCCAAACAGUAGAGAAGCCUCAAAGAGCCUCCUUCCUUGUGAAUCACUGGGGAGAAGGGUACAGGCAGGGGGUGUGAGUGGAUCUGAGGAAAAACAGGCCAGCUGCUGCUGCUGCUGUCCUUUCUGAAAUUCUUCCUUGAGUUCUUUCAAAAGUUCUUUCUAUUCCUAUGUUAUGGGCUGAAUUGUGUCCCCCUCAAAAAAAUCCCCAUGUUGAAAUCCUAACCCCCAGCACCUCAGAAUGUGACUGUAUUUGGAGAUGGAUCCUUUAAAGUGGCGAGUAAGGUAAAAUGAGAUCACAUGGGCAGGCCCUAAUCCAGUAUGACUGGACUCCUUGUAACAGAUUAGGACACAGAAGGAGGACCAUGUGAAGACACAGGGCAAAAACGGCCAUCUGCGAGGCAAGGAGGGAGACCUCAGAAGGAACCAACCCUACCGGCACUUGGAUCUCGACCUCCAGACUGUGAGGAAAUAAAUUCCUGUUGUUUAAGCCACCCCGUCGGUGGUAGCUUGUUAUGGCAGCCGGAGCAAACUAAUCCAUCCUAGUUCUCAGUGACCCCUUCUCUGUCUCUUACCCUUCCUUGAACCAUUGGGCAUAAGUGAUCCUUUGCCCCCAGCUUCUGCCCUCACCUACGUUCUCUUCCGUGGUGGUUCCAUUUUCCCGCUGGGUUUCAGUGGCCACCCCUCUGGUAUAAUGCUCAGAUCCUCAUUGCCAGCUCCAGCCUCUCCCAGACUCGUGCCGCAAUCAUCCUUUCUGCAUACCUCUAUUUGGAUAUUCUGUCUCAGGAGCAACAUGAAUAAAACUAAAUGCAUUUUUCUCCCACAGAUUACUUUGCCCUGAUUUCUCUGUUAAUGACAUCACAUUCUCCUUUAGUCCUGGACCUAGGACUUAGUCAUGUUGGAGUCCCAACUUCUCUCCACCCGAAUCCUGUUUAUUCCAGUUGGUGAUACCUCCACACAGUCUCUCAAGAGUCUCAUCUUUCCAUCACCACCCCUCUGCUGUCAUUGGAACCGACAUGGUAGCCUCCUCAGUAAUUCUCGGUAGCACCCUAGCUUCCCACUGCUCUGCUUGAUCCUCCACAUUGGACUUUCUAAAGUGCAGCUCUGGUCCCAUCACUCCCCUUCUCAAACCCUUCAGUGCCUGCCCCUGCCCCCCAGGAAGCUCGGGGCAUCUUGCUUGGCAUUCAAGACCUUCCACUGCACCCACCUCAUCUGGUCUCCCCUUAGGGACAUCCAUCCAUCCAUUUAUUCAUUCCCCAUCUCUGCAUACUAAGCCCUGUGCCAAUCACUAUGUACAUUCUUUCAUGUAACCCUCUCUAUAAUUGCACAGUGGCUAUUGUCCCCAUGUUGCACAGGGGGAAAUUGAAUUUAGAGCAGUUGAAUGACUUGCUCGAGGUCCCACAAUUCGGUGGGGAAGCUGGGACCUAAAUUUAUGUCUUUCUGGCUCCAGAGCCCUUCGCUAGAUAAACCAGGCACCUGAGAGCUAAGAAUGUCCCUUGUACAACAAUAAUCAACUGAACUGAGACUCAAGAUCCAAGAGGGAAUGGUGGCAGAAGGUUCGGGUGUGCCGCUGCUGGCUUGACAGCCUUCUGUUUCUAGAUCACACAGGCCGGGAUUGUCCAGAACUUGGCCACUCCCAAAAAGCUGCGGGUGGGAUUUCAUGGAGUUCACCAGGGCACACGCCUGGCUCUGAAAACUCACAAAGCAAAAGACAAAAGAGGCAUAUGGUCCACUGUACAACAGCUGAAUGUCACUAAUUCAUUACUGUUCUAAGGAACCUCAAGUAUAGGAAAAUACAAAGUAAAAAUUCCAGAGUCAGGGGCAGCAGGUUAGCUCAGUGGGUCAGAGCAUGGGGCUCUUAACAACAAGGUUGCCAGAUCCAUCCCCACAUGGGCCACUGUGAGCUGCGCCCUCCACACCUAGAUUGAAACCACUACUUCACUUGGAGCUGAUGGGUCCUGGAAAAGGACACUUAAAUAAAUAAAUAAAUAAAAAUUCCAGAGUCAAAAUGCAAUGUAAGUAUCCUGGACUGGAUUCUGGAACAGAAAAAGGAUCUUAGUGGGAAAACUGGUUAAAUCUGAAGUCUGUAGGUUACUUAAUAGUAUUGUAUUGCGCUAAUGUUAAUGUUUUCUUUUGCUAAAUCCUUAGUUGUGUAAGAUGUUAACACUGUGUAAGAUGUAAACACAUGGUUGUAUAAGAUGUUAACACAAAGUGAAGGAACUCUACUAUUUUUGCAACUCUUUUGUAAGUCUAAAAUUAUUUCAAAAUGAAGUUACGAAAAUUAGAAGAUGACCUUUAA